rnacentral:rRNA from 1 species
GGUACGGGGGGGGCAAGCGUUGUUCGGAAUUACUGGGGCGUAAAGGGCUUGUAGGCGGCCAACUAAGUCAAGACGUGAAAUCCCACGGCUCAACCGUGGAAGUGCAUUCGAAACUGCAGGGCUAGAGUCCUGGAGAGGAAGGUGGAAUGCUUGGUGUAGAGGUGAAAUUCGUAGAUAUCAAGCGGAACACCGGUGGCGAAGGCGGCCUCUGGACGAUGACUGACGCUGAGGAGCGAAAGCGUGGGGAGCGAACAGG